rnacentral:rRNA from 1 species
UACAGAGGGUGCAAGCGUUGUCCGGAAUUAUUGGGCGUAAAGAGCUCGUAGGCGGUUUGUCGCGUCUGCUGUGAAAAUCCAGGGCUUAACCCUGGACCUGCAGUGGGUACGGGCAGACUGGAGUGCGGUAGGGGAGAUCGGAAUUCCUGGUGUAGCGGUGAAAUGCGCAGAUAUCAGGAGGAACACCGGUGGCGAAGGCGGAUCUCUGGGCCGUAACUGACGCUGAGGAGCGAAAGCAUGGGGAGCGAACAGG